rnacentral:rRNA from 1 species
AAUAUUAAUUUAAGGGCCGCGGUAUUACUAACCGUGCAAAGGUAGCAUAAUCAUUAGAUUUUUAAUUGGAGUCUUGUAUGAAUGGUUGGACAAAAGGAAUACUGUCUUUAUAUUAAAAUUGAAUUUAACUUUUAAGUGAAAAGGCUUAAAUAAUCUAAAGGGACGAUAAGACCCUAUAAAGCUUUAUAUUAUAAUUAUAUUUUAUUGAGUUUAUAAAUAAAUUUUUAAUUUGAUUAUUUAUUGUGUUGGGGAGAUAUAAAUAUAAUUUAUAUUAACUGUAAGAUUAUAAAACAAAUAUUAAUGAAAUAUUCGGAGAUCCUUUAUUUAAAGAUUAAAAGAUUAAGUUACUUUAGGGAUAACAGCGUUAUUUUUUUUAAGAGUUCAUAUCGACAAAAAAGUUUGCGACCUCGAUGUUGAAUUAAAAUUUCUAUAUAAUGAAGGGAUUAUAUAAGGAGGUCUGUUCGACCUUUAAAUUUUUACGUGAUUUGAGUUCAGACCGGCGUAAGCCAGGUUGGUUUCUAUCUUUUAGAAUUAUAAAAAUUAUUUUAGUACGAAAGGAUUAAAUAAUU